UCCCCUGCUACUGUUGCUAAUUGAAAUCGGCUACAAAAUGGCUUGUGAAGGUGAAUUCAGAUGCUGGAAUUUUGCAACAGGUGGGAGUGGCCUUGGUGUUGUUUUAAGGGAUUCAGCUGGCAUCUUUAUUGCAGCUGCGACGAAACGAAUUGCAGGUAGCUGGUCGCCGGAAUUAGCAGAGGCCACCACUGCGGAAUAUGCUAUUGUUUUUGCUAAACAACGAGGGUGUUCUGACAUUGUUCUUGAGAGUGAUUGUUUGAAUGUUAAAUAUCUUUUGGAUGAUUUUGAUUGUGGACGAUGGACUCAUUGUAAGCGAUGGGUGAAUACGGCGGCUCAUAUUAUUAAGGGUGGAAAAUCGGUGUUGGUAAUCGAUUAACCGACCGAGUCCGUCGGAGGUCAGUUUAACAGAACCAGACGUCGGUCGGGCAAUGGUUAAACUAAUUAUUGAAGUCGGUUAAUCAUUGAAUCGGUUAAAACCGUCCAAUUAACCAACCGGCAAAAAAAAAUUGCCCCCAAUAAUCCCAACCCAAACGACUUCAUCAGUUAUCACCAUCCUAACUAUGUCAAACUCAAAGGCUGAAAUUGCGAAACACCUAAAAUCUGAAAUCUCCUUUCCACUAAUUUCCCCCCUUUCUUCUCACAUUUAGGUCAAAGUGAACAAUUGAUUCGGCGAGGGCGAGGGCGGAGCUAGAUCUAUCUCGGCGACUUGGUGCUCGGCGAUGGCUCGGACGGCGCUGGAAAUCAACGAUGUGAGAGAGGAGAGGAGAUAGGAGGUUUGGCAUGACGGCGACAUAUAAUAGUGGAUUGAAUACAGCCGAUCGAGGAAUCGAAGAGGAGGAUACCACCAUACGAGGCUCCGACGCCGGAUUCGAAAGGAGGCUGCAACGGAGAUCGCCGAUUUAACGAAGGAGAGCAGUGGCGACGGAUUCUAUUCAGGUCUCCGUUUCGAGGACCCAGGUGGAGUUGGCUCGCUAGAUUACGAGGACCCAGGUGGAGUUGGCUCGCCGGAUUUCGAGGACCUAGGUGGGAGUUGGAGGCCUACAGAAGACGGAAGACGUGGUGGCGCCGGCCUGGAAUCAGGGUCGGCCGGCGUAUGGAACCAACACAGAGAAGAAGAAGAGUCUCUGGUGAUAUUAUUAUUAGGGAUUAUGGUCAAAAUGGCUCUUAUAUAAGUUAACAAUUGAGUUCUCUUAUUAUUAUUUUUUUUAAUCAAAUUCUUAUAUUUUUUCAAGUAAUUAAGUAAGCCUUUUUU
rnacentral:lncRNA from 1 species